GCAGAAUCUUUUUUUUUUAAUACCAUCUCAAAACAGAAAUAAUGCUUUUUAUCCUUUGAAGCACAGAAAUUUAACUCACAGCUUCUCUAGACACUAAUAGGUUGGUAUAACCAAUAUGAUCUUUUGAUCAAAAUGAAAGAAGGGCUGUAUUUUGGGCUCAGCCACUGUCUGCAGAAUGAAUUAGACAAAAUCCUGAAGGGGAGCUGAUAUAGUUUGGAUGUUUUUUCCACCUGAAAUGUGACCUCCAAAGUUGGAGCUCCCCCUUCACCUUCCACCAUGACUGUAAGCUCCCAGAGGCCUUCACCAGAAGCAGAUGCCAGCACCAUGCUUCCUGUAUAGCCUGCAGAACCAUGGGCCAAAAUAAAUGUCUUUUCUUCAUAAAUAACCCAGUCUUAGGUAUUUCUUUAUAGUAACACAAAAUGGACUAACAUAGAAAAUUGGUACUGAGAAGUAAGGCAUUGCUAUAAAGAUAUCUGAAGAUGUGGAAGUACUUUGGAACUGGGUAACAGCAAGAGGCUGGAAGAGUUUGGAGGCCUCAGAAGAUGAUGGGAAGAUGAGGGAAAUUUUGGAACUUCUGAGGGACUGGUUAAAUGGUUAUAACCAAAAUGCUAAUAGAAAUAUGGACAGUGAAGGCCAAACUGAAGAGGUCUCAGAUUGAAAUGAUGAACUUAUUUGGAACAAAAGCAAAAAUUAUCCUUGUCACUCUGUAGCAAAGAACUUGGGUGCAUUGUGUCCCUACCCUACGUAUCUGUGGAAGUUUGAAUUUAAGAAUGAUGAUUUAGGAUACCUGGCAGAAGAAAUCUCUAAGCAGCCAAGUGUUAAAGAAGUAGCCUGGCUACUUCUAACAGCCAAUGAUAAGAUAUGGGAGCAAAGAAAUGACUUAAAGUUGGAGCUUAUGAAUAAAAAGGAAGCAGAACAUAAAGGUUAUCUUGCAGUAAUGACUGAGUUAUCACACUAUGAGUUCAUGUGAGACUUGGUUGUUUAAAAGAGCCUAGCACCUCUUCCCUCUCUCUCUUGAUUCCCCUCUUGCCAUGUAAUACAUUGUAUCAGCUUCCCUUCUCCCUUGUGCCAUGAUUGUAAGCUGCCUGAGCGCCCCCAGAAGCAGAUGCCAACACAUGCUUCCUGGAUAUCCUGCCAAGCCAUAAGCCAAAAUAAACCUCUUUUCUUCAUAAAGUAUUCAGUUUCAGGUGUUCCUUUAUAGUAAUGCAAACAGACUAACACAGAAGCCAUGGCAUGUACAAAUAUA
rnacentral:lncRNA from 1 species